rnacentral:rRNA from 1 species
GAGUUUGAUCCUGGCUCAGGACGAACGCUGGCGGCGUGCCUAAUACAUGCAAGUCGAGCGAGGGUUUUUAAGACCCUAGCGGCGGACGGGUGAGUAACACGUAGGCAACCUGCCUCUCAGACCGGGAGUAACAUAGGGAACUUAUGCUAAUACCGGAUAGGUUUUUGGAUCGCAUGAUCCGAAAGAAAAGAUGGCUUUUCGCUAUCACUGGGAGAUGGGCCUGCGGCGCAUUAGCUAGUUGGU